ACUCCUACGGGAGGCAGCAGUGGGGAAUAUUGCACAAUGGGCGCAAGCCUGAUGCAGCCAUGCCGCGUGUGUGAAGAAGGCCUUCGGGUUGUAAAGCACUUUCUAGUUGUGAGGAAGGUGGUGUCGUUAAUAGCUGCAUUAUUUGUACGUUAGCGACAGAAGAAGCACCGGCUAACUCCGUGCCAGCAGCCGCGGUAAUACGGAGGGUGCGAGCGUUAAUCGGAAUUACUGGGCGUAAAGCGCAUGCAGGUGGUUUGUUAAGUCAGAUGUGAAAGCCCGGGGCUCAACCUCGGAAUAGCAUUUGAAACUGGCAGACUAGAGUACUGUAGAGGGGGUAGAAUUUCAGGUGUAGCGGUGAAAUGCGUAGAGAUCUGAAGGAAUACCGGUGGCGAAGGCGGCCCCCUGGACAGAUACUGACACUCAGAUGCGAAAGCGUGGGAGCAAACAGGAUUAGAUACCCCUGGUAGCGACUGA
rnacentral:rRNA from 1 species